UACAGAGGUCUCAAGCGUUGUUCGGAAUCACUGGGCGUAAAGGGUGCGUAGGCGGCGGAGUAAGUCGGGUGUGAAAUUUGAAGGCUCAACCUUCAACUAGCACCUGAUACUGCUUUGCUUGAGGUCUGAAGAGGAGCUUGGAAUUCUCGGUGUAGCAGUGAAAUGCGUAGAUUUCGAGAAGAACGCUCGCAGCGAAAGCGAAGCUCUGGUCAGAUUCUGACGCUGAGGCACGGAGGCUAGGGGAGCAAACGGG
rnacentral:rRNA from 1 species